CUCAAUCAAGUAUGAAUGAAAUGUAGCCGGCAACUGGCCGGAAAAAUCGUACAAAAUUAACUGCCUGAUGUGACACAUCAGUGCCUGGCAUAUUUUCGAAAUACUUUCAAAAUACCUUUCCAAACAUUGAUACAGAAGCGCCGCCCGGGCUCUCCAAACGAUAAAGGCAUUUCAGCAAUUUUCCAAGUGGUUUGGCCACCGACUUCUUGCAGGGAGUGCGCCUACGGGAGCUACAGAAUGGCUGCCCUGCCUGACAUUAAUGCCAGUUAACCCCAACGUUGUCCCCAUCCUCGGCUGCAGCUGCAAUGGCUUUGGGGGGUUACUUUUUUGGCAGGCCCCCGGCCCUCAACCCACCUGCAUGCCAGCCUGCAAGACCUGGAUUGGGAGACACGCACAUGAAAGCUAAUGCCGUUGACGGGGCGGGCAACAAGCCGAAGCAUCGGCAUCGGCAUCGGUAAUGGCAGUGGCAGUGGCAGUGGCAGCACGCACAAGUGCACAACCGCGUUGCAGCCACAGCAGCAGCCCGAACAGACGUCCUUCAGCCUGGACAGUGGAACAAGCAUCAUUGUGAGUGAUCAAAUAGAGAGACAUACUUUUUCCUCAAAGAGGUAUUGAGGGAAUACCCGAAGGAUUCUUCUGCUCCAUUGUGGGACUCUCCACUUAUCGUUUCGUGCCACUGUGCCCCACAGAGGCACGCAGCAAACUGCUUAAUUCGUGCAAAUAAAAUGAUUGUGCAACAUA